rnacentral:rRNA from 1 species
AUUGAACGCUGGCGGAAUGCUUUACACAUGCAAGUCGAACGGCAGCACGGGUGCUUGCACCUGGUGGCGAGUGGCGAACGGGUGAGUAAUACAUCGGAACGUACCCAGUCGUGGGGGAUAAUGUACCGAAAGUUACGCUAAUACCUCAAACGUCCUGAGGGAGAAAGCGGGGGACCGUAAGGCCUCGCGAGAUUGUAGCGGCCGGUGGCGGAUUAGCUAGUUGGUGGGGUAAAGGACUACCAAGGCGACGAUCCGUAGCGGGUCUGAGAGGACGGCCCGCCACACUGGAACUGAGACACGGUCCAGACUCCUACGGGAGGCAGCAGUGGGGAAUUUUGGACAAUGGGCGAAAGCCUGAUCCAGCCAUUCAGCGUGAGUGAAGAAGGCCUUCGGGUUGUAAAGCUCUUUCGGCAGGGAAGAAACGGCUUGGGAUAAUACCCGGGGCUAAUGACGGUACCUGAAGAAGAAGCACCGGCUAACUACGUGCCAGCCGCCGCAGUAA